rnacentral:tRNA from 1 species
GGGGCGGUGGCGCAGUUGGCUAGCGCGUAGGUCUCAUAGCUAAAUUAUAUGCGAGUGAUCCUGAGGUCUAGAGUUCGAGCCUCUCUCGCCCCA